AAUAGAUACCCUGGUAGUCCAUGCCGUAAACGAUGAGUGCUAAGUGUUAGAGGGUUUCCGCCCUUUAGUGCUGCAGCUAACGCAUUAAGCACUCCGCCUGGGGAGUACGGUCGCAAGACUGAAACUCAAAGGAAUUGACGGGGGCCCGCACAAGCGGUGGAGCAUGUGGUUUAAUUCGAAGCAACGCGAAGAACCUUACCAGGUCUUGACAUCCUCUGACAACUCUAGAGAUAGAGCGUUCCCCUUCGGGGGACAGAGUGACAGGUGGUGCAUGGUUGUCGUCAGCUCGUGUCGUGAGAUGUUGGGUUAAGUCCCGCAACGAGCGCAACCCUUGAUCUUAGUUGCCAGCAUUAAGUUGGGCACUCUAAGGUGACUGCCGGUGACAAACCGGAGGAAGGUGGGGAUGACGUCAAAUCAUCAUGCCCCUUAUGACCUGGGCUACACACGUGCUACAAUGGAUGGUACAAAGGGCUGCAAGACCGCGAGGUCAAGCCAAUCCCAUAAAAUCAUUCUCAGUUCGGAUUG
rnacentral:rRNA from 1 species